UGGCGAUGAUGACUAUCUUAGGACACCUUUGGAUUUCAACAUGAAACUAACCUUUUGUCUGAGCCAC
rnacentral:snoRNA from 1 species